CACAUCACUUUAAAACACCGGCUUACGUGUGAUCACCGAAGUUAAGCAACGUUGAGCCUGGUCAAUACCUAGAUGGAGGACCGCUUGGGAAUAUC